CUGAAGGUUUGUCCGGCCGACUGUGGCUGAAGGCGAAUGCUCGUUCCGGUCCUUGCUGCCAAGCGUGCUCGGUGUUUUCUGGGGACUGCUGAACUGCGCAAUGCUAUAAAUGACGGUUCUGUUCCUGGAAAUCCAUUUCAUACCCUAAAAAUACCAAAAUUGACUAUGGAAAUGGAGGAAAACUAAACUAAAUAGUUUAAAUAAUGCAGAAAUAUAACUAAAGAGUGAAGACCGAUGUGGUGGAGACGCAUGCAGUUCAAGCAGCAGCUGUAGACUGGUAACUUUCAUAAAUCUAAUUAUCAAGCUACUCCAGAAAGUAAGUUAUCUGUGCAAAGCUGAGCACAGGAUUAAAGGAAAACUUUCAGAUCAAACCUAAUAUAAACAUGCCUUUACCUGUUACCAACUCUAGCUUUACAUUAAAACUAAAAGAUAUAAUUUUCCAGGUUUGUUUCCUUGUAUCUUUCCAUCUACUGAAAACCUGUCUCACUUCUGUUUUAUAGAGUUCUUACUCAGUUCCACAGACAACUCCUUUUAUUCAAACCCAGUGCUGCACUGUUUCCAUUGAAAACUCUCCAGGAGAACACUUUAAAGAGUCCACCUGAUGAGAGUAAAAUUGCAGAAUCAAGGAAUCAUUGCCUGAUAAAAUCAGACCCAACAUUCAGGGUUUUCAAGAAUAAUUUUUUUACAAACCCAAGAACUGGAAACAUUGAUUUCAAUGGGGUUCUGCAUGGGUGGGUAAACUGUCCACAUUGACAGUCACGGAAUCUAGGCUUUGGUAUUUGUUAGGCUGUGCUAUUGCAGAAUAGAUUUUUUUUUCCUGGAAUUAAUGCACCUUUAAAAAAAUCUGUCUGGCCUAUUCUUAGUUUAAUGUUUAUACAGUCUGCCUCUUUGCAGUAACGUAAGCAUAACUAAAUUAGGUGCGCACCUACUGAGAUAGUGAUCACAAGCGUUUGCUCGUGCCUGUAAGUACUAAUCAUCCUUUAUAAACCCACAGCAGAACAAGGAAGUUCAGAUGAAUAUGUAAAAUACAGUCUAGGGGGUUGUUACUUCUGUACAAACACGCAGAAAGUUUUCAAAGACAAAAGUUUGCAGCUAUUCCUGGAUACUGCUUUCCACUGUCAUGGUUAAGUUAGAACAACUCUAGAAAUCAAAAUAGUUUACUAGAGCUUAGGAGGUUUUUUUUUUUGUUUGUUUCCUUAUACUGUUAAAAGUUCGUGCCCUAGUACUCUUUAUAAAAGCUCAGGUGUCCUUCACUAUUAGAAGCAGUCUUCUUAAAAUAAGCUUUCCCCGCCUCUCAGUAUAAUACACUGAGGCUACGUCUACACUGCAGGGUUUUUGCACAAGAAGUCUUUUGUGGAAA